rnacentral:rRNA from 1 species
UACGGGAGGCAGCAGUGGGGAAUAUUGCACAAUGGGCGCAAGCCUGAUGCAGCCAUGCCGCGUGUAUGAAAAAGGCCUUCGGGUUGUAAAGUACUUUCAGUCGUGAGGAAGGUGUUAAGGUUAAUAACCUUAGCAAUUGACGUUAGCGACAGAAGAAGCACCGGCUAACUCCGUGCCAGCAGCCGCGGUAAUACGGAGGGUGCGAGCGUUAAUCGGAAUUACUGGGCGUAAAGGGCACGCAGGCGGUUAAUUAAGUUGGAUGUGAAUCCCCGGGCUUAACCUGGGAAUGGCAUUCAAGACUGGUUAGCUAGAGUCUUGUAGAGGGGGUAGAAUUCCAUGUGUAGCGGUGAAAUGCGUAGAGAUGUGGAGGAUACCGGUGGCGAAGGCGGCCCCUGGACAAAGACUGACGCUCAUGUGCGAAAGCGUGGGGAGCAAACAGGGAUUAGAUACC